UGUUAGGGAGGGGAGUUGAACCUCUGACUAUAAAAAUUUAAAUUUUAUGCAUUUACCAAACUUUGCUACCCUAGC
rnacentral:tRNA from 1 species